rnacentral:rRNA from 1 species
UACGUAGGUGGCAAGCGUUGUCCGGAUUUACUGGGCGUAAAGAGCGCGCAGGCGGCCAAGUCAGUCGAAUGUGAAAGCCCCCGGCUUAACUGGGGAGGGUCAUUCGAUACUGCUCGGCUCGAAGACAGGAGAGGGAAGCGGAAUUCCCGGUGUAGUGGUGAAAUGCGUAGAUAUCGGGAGGAACACCAGUGGCGAAGGCGACUACCUGGCCUGUUUCUUGACGCUGAGGCGCGAAAGCUAGGGGAGCAAACGGG